rnacentral:lncRNA from 1 species
AUGUGUCUAUUUUAUCUCUCAGAUGCUAAAUAUUUAUGAUCUGAUUACCAUCAAUAAGAAGUCUCAGUUUUUGGUCUUGAAGAAUAAUGAGACGGUCAAAGCUUAGUAAGUCCACAUUUGCCAAGCCUAUCCUUCUUCAAUUUAUCAGUUGUCUAAACUGGUUAACUCAAAAGUUGUUUCUGUUUUUACAACAACAACGACCACAGUGAAGUUCCAUUAGUGGAGUAUGGGGAGGGUAGUGUGUACGCAGACCUUAGCCCUACCCCAAGGGUAGAAAGACUAUUUCCGAAAGACCCUCGGAUCAAGAGGACGAAUUUUUUUCUUCUGUUUUUUUUUUUUAAAUAAUUUUUGUUUUUUGCCUUUUUCGUGUCAUUCCCUAAUCGCUUGUCUUUGGUUCUUCUUCGUGAUAGAGAGUAUGGGGUCAUUUCUAGAUAUACCCUUUGUGUUGCUGUUAUUAAUAUGUAUUGUCUUCAGAUUCAAGGAGAAUGAUCAGCAUCUAUGCACUGACAAUCUUUUCCUUUUUCCGGAUGAUAGGGACGAUGCUUUUGAUGAUGAUUUUGACAAGAUAUAGAUAGGUAAGCAUGGGAUUAUUCUUCACUAUAAAUCAGUAUUUUACCACUUAGAUAUCUGUAUAUCUCCAAUCGCAGGAAAUGCUGAAACCAUAACUAUGUUCAGAAAUUUGACUUUCUGGAAUAGUUAUGUGAACCGUGUCAUGAUGUAUAUGUUCCACUUUUUUAAUGAGAGGACUCCUUCAUUAUGUAACUUAUUUGAACAUCCCAAGUACAAUGUAUAUGGUGGAUAUUUCAUUCAUCUGUCUUCGUAACCUUUUCUUUCCGCAGGGAAGGGGGGGGGGGGGAGGGGGGUAACGGGGCGGGGAAUGAUAUGCUCCAAUGUUGGAACUUGUGGGUUGCUGCUAUAUUCUUGCUACCUUUGAAUUUUUUCUCCAGCUCCACGAAUGAAUUGUACUUUGUGCAUUAUGUAUGUCAUAUCAAUUGAAGUAUGAUGUUAAAUAUCCAUGUUCCAUGCUUAAAGUAAUAGAUCUCACUUGUAGUUAUUCCCAAUUCCUUGAGAACUUUUAAGAGUAGUUUAACUAAGUAUGAUCUGAAUAGUUCAGCUCGAGUCUAAAUGUUAUGGUAUUUGGAGUUAGUUCUAGGUUAGCUCUCACGCUUUGAUAGUUUUUGCUAACUUUUUGUGAAGCCUGCAGAAAGGUGAAAUAUUGGAAACUAAGAUCAUACAUUGGCUACUUGCUGCUCGGAGAAGUUGGGGUUGAAAUACAUCUGUAUGUACUCAUAUGGGUAAUGCACGAUAAUCCAGCUCAUAUGAAAUAGACAACUACUCAAAAAAUUGCCACCUUCCUCAGCUCUUUCAUCUUGUCCAUUUCUUCGUUCUUUUUCUUUCUUUCAACUUUUAUUUUCGCUGGAGUUGCAGAAGAUAAGGUAGGUGGCCAAGGAGGACAGUUGAUAUAUAAUGUUCAUUUCAAAGGUGUAAAGUUGAAAUUCAUUUAGUGGCCUUAUCAUUCACCUUUUGUUUAGAGAUGGAUGAGUAAAAAUUGGAAGAGUGAAAUUUAGUGGGCGUUUGGACAUAAAGAAUUGUAAAAUUCCGGAAAAAA